AAGUCGUAACAAGGUUUCCGUAGGUGAACCUGCGGAAGGAUCAUUAGCGAGAGCCUGCUGCAGACUCGUGCGAGUCUGUGCGCAAGCGCGCCGUCCUUGUGUUGUGUGUGACGUGUUGUGUGUGCAAUGCCACUGUUGCCAAGGUGGCGGUGGCGUCUGCGCAUGCGCAUUUUUUUCACUCCAUUUCAUCGCAUUUAUUCUAAUUACUGCUGCUCGCAUGAGCACAAACAACCGAAAACUGCCAGCAAUGGAUUACUCGGUUCUC
rnacentral:misc_RNA from 1 species